ensembl:lncRNA
UUUUUUCUUUUGGUUUCUCUUCAUUUCAUUCAUUUGAUCCUCAAUCACUGAUAUGCUUUCUUCCAGUUGAUCGAGUCGGUUACUGAAGCUUGUGCAUUUGUCACGUAUUUCUCGUGUCAUGGUUUUCAUCUCUUUCAUUUCGUUUAGGACCUUCUCUGCAUUAAUUACUCUAGCCAUCAAUUCUUCCACUUUUUUUUCAAGAUUUUUAGUUUCUUUGCGCUGGGUACGUAAUUCCUCCUUUAGCUCUGAGAAAUUUGAUGGACUGAAGCCUUCUUCUCUCAUCUCGUCAAAGUCAUUCUCUGUCCAGCUUUGAUCGUUGCUGUCGAUGAGCUGCGCUCCCUUGCUGGGGGAGAUGCGCUCUUAUUUUUUGAAUUUCCAGCUUUUCUGCCCUGCUUUUUCCCCAUCUUUGUGGUUUUAUCUGCCUCUGGUCUUUGAUGAUGGUGAUGUACUGAUGGGGUUUUGGUGUAGGUGUCCUUCCUGUUUGAUAGUUUUCCUUCUAACAGUCAGGACCCUCAGCUGUAGGUCUGUUGGAGAUUGCUUGAGGUCCACUCCAGACCCUGUUUGCCUGGGUAUCAGCAGCAGAGGCUGCAGAAGAUAGAAUAUUUCUGAACAGCGAGUGUACCUGUCUGAUUCUUGCUUUGGAAGCUUCCUCUCAGGGGUGUACUCCACCCUGUGAGGUGUGGGGUGUCAGACUGCCCCUAGUGGGGAUGUCUCCCAGUUAGGCUACUCAGGGGUCAGGGACCCACUUGAGCAGGGAGUCUGUCCCUUCUCAGAUCUCAACCUCCAUGUUGGGAGAUCCACUGCUCUCUUCAAAGCUGUCAGACAGAGUCGUUUGCGUCUGCAGAGGUUUCUGCUUCGUUUGUUAUUGUUUACUGUGCCCUGUCCCCAGAGGUGGAGUCUACAGAGACAGGCAGGUUUCCUUGAGCUGCUGUGAGCUCCACCCAGUUCGAGCUUCCCAGCAGCUUUGUUUACCUACUUAAGCCUCAGCAAUGGCGGGCGCCCCUCCCCAGCCUCGCUGCUGCCUUGCCGGUAGAUCACAGACUGCUGUGCUAGCAAUGAGGGGAGGCUCCGUGGGUGUGGGACCCUCCUGGCCAGGUGUGGGAUAUGAUCUCCUGGUGUGCCUGUUUGCUUACAGCGCAGUAUUGGGGUGGGAGUUACCCGAUUUUCCAGGUGUUGUGUGUCUCAGUUCCCCUGGCUAGGAAAAGGGAUUCCCUUCCCCCUUGCACUUCCCAGGUGAGGCAAUGCCUCGCCCUGCUUCAGCUCUCGUUGGUCGGGCUGCAGCAGCUGACCAGCACCGAUCGUCCGGCACUCCCCAGUGAGAUGAACCCAGUACCUCAGUUGAAAAUGCAGAAAUCACCGGUCUUCUGUGUGGCUCGCGCUGGGAGUUGGAGACUGGAGCUGUUCCCAUUCCUUGAGACCCUAUUUCUAUCAAAUAAAUAAAUAAAUAAAUAAACCAGGCAUGGUGGCCCUUGUCUGUAGUCUCAGCUACCCAGGAGACUGAGGCAGGAGGGUUACUUGAGCCCAGGAAUUCACAUUUACAGUGAGUGAUGAUCAUGCCACUGUACUUCAGCCUGCGUGACAGAGCAACACCCUGUCUCAAAAAAAAAAAAAAAAAAAAAAAAAAAAAGAAACUGCUUACAGUGAACAGUGAUUAAUCAUCAGAAGUAAUAACUGAGGAAAAAAAAUAGUGGGAUGAGGCAAUGUAGGGCAUACACCUGGAAAUCAAAUCGAAGGGAAAAAAAGACUGAGAAUCCAGGCCUAGAUAAGAGAGGCUUUCUUGGUCCAACCGGAUCCAGGUUAUCUUUAGUUCCUUGCAGAAAAGGACCUGGAUAUUGAUAUUAGAACAUCAUUGUAUUCGUGGCUGUUGUAAGCUUUUCUGUCUAAUCACCUAUAUAGGAUCUCUUUACACAGUAAAGGAUUAGUCUUGCUCAACUAAUCCUUUUAUCAUCUUUAAAAAAUCCUGGAGUAAAGAACCUAUCAUGAUACUGCUGUAUUCAGAUAUCAAGCCUGGGAGGGCACUAUUUGAUUUUUGCUAGGUCAAGAGUCUAGCACCCAGAAGGUACAAACCAUGAAAGCACCUUUUAAAUACACACACACACACACACACACACACACACACACACACACACACACACACACGGAUUUCUGCUGGGCAUGCUGGCUGCAUGUCACAAAAUAUCUCCUGAACAGCAGGAAUUUUAAUUAAAUCAGGGGAGAUCUAAUUUGGCCUAAAUUGGCUUGCUACAAAAGGUGUUAAGAAGAAACUGUUCUGCAAUAUGGAUGUUUGUGAAAGGGAUGGGCUGGAUUAUUGACAAUGGUAAUGCAAAGUGAUGUGGAAAAUAUGAAGCCCACUGAAGAUGCUAGAAAGCCUGAGAAUGCUAAUCUGUGAUAAGCUGAUUACAGAAGGAAAUAUAUUACAUGCAUGAACUCCUGGAACUAAAUUCACCUGAAGGUACAACCAGUAUUGAAGGCUGAUCUCUGGUAGCCCUCAAAGAAAAUAAGGGAGAAAUACGAGGAGAAGAGCAGUAUAAACCACUAUUAUUGUGUAGACUGGAACAGGAAGUGGAAGAGUAUCACCGCUUGGACAGAGAUAAUGAUAAAGAUCAUAUUCCUUCAUACUUUCAAGAGAAGAAGACCUUUGAUAGCAGGAAUGAAAGAAUGACCAAGCAGAGCUGGACAGGUCUAACAAAAGAAUAAGUAGGUGAGAAAUUUGAGGACGCCAGCAAUAAAGUUGUCAAAGUUGCAUGCCGUGGGAUUUAGAAUGAAUGAAGAAAGGAAAAUUGGAAAGGGAAUGGCAGGCCAUGUGGCAGAGGGAAGUUUGAAAGUAUAGCAGGCCUGAUGUGGUUAAAAAUCAGAAGCAUUGUAAGGAAGUGAGUAAGCUGAAAGGAGGGAAAUUUAGGUCAUUGUUGGGUAUGGAAAUUUACAUUCUUUAGGUGUAGGAUUCCUGGCAAUAACCAUGGGUGUAGGUGGUUGAAGGGGAGUAAGUGUAAGGAUCAUGGGAGUCACAGAGAAAAAGGAGCUUGGAGGUCUGGCUGUUGGGUGACUCAUCCACAUAGAUGCUGCCCAUGAUAAUUGAAGGAACUGGGGUGGAGACAAAAAUAGCUAUGCAAUUGCCAAAGGCUUCAGUGUGGAAGAGGAAGAAGGCAAGAAUUAAGCAAUUAAAGGCAAUGAGAAGUAGUAAAGAGUGGUAUAGAUGAGUGUCAUUAGCCUCAAAGGAAGAGGGCUUUUAUGCCCACAAAGAUGAAAGGGUAAUGGUCUGGAAGCAGCUGGGAGAACUUCUCCAUGCUUUGGUCUCCAUGAGAUGUGAAGUCUGGGAGAAAACUCAGGUCCAGCUGCUAUUUAGGUAAAGUGAUGUUCCCCAGUUGUAUCCUGUACAACAAUAGCUUGCCCAGGUGUUACAGAUGAACAACCAAAUAACGUAAAAUAAAUGUUUCAUGAUUAUAUACAUUUAAGAAAUAUUGCACAGUAAACCUUCUUCUGGAAGCAUCAUAAUACAAACUAAAAAAAUAGAGCAAUACUGUGCAGUAGAAGCAUAUUUUACCAUAAUUUUUUCAUCUAUAUUUGACUACUAAAUCAUUGCUCUGGAGGGAUUCCUAGUAACACCACAACAUAGGUAUCCUGUAGAGAAUGGGGAAAGCUAAGUUAACAUAAGGAAAAAGAAAGAAGCUUCCAUAAAAGGGUAAAGAGGUUGAAGAUAGAGAGGUAUAGUGUGGGAUCUAGAGGAGCCUGACUGGUUUUAAAUCCCUGAUCAGGUACUUCCCAGCUCUAUAACCUUGGGAAAACUGCCUCAGUUUGCUUAUCUGUAGAAGAAGGAGGAGGAGGAUGAGAAGACAUGUCAUAAGGUGGUGAUGAGGAUUAAGUUAAUUAACACAGGAAUGCCUAGAAAAACACUUGGUACAUGAUAUGUGCCCCACAAAUGAAAGCUGUUAUUAUUGCAGGGUUUAUUUGCAAUGGAAAGAGAGUUCUAAGUGACAAACUGUUUUCCAAGCACUGAGAGUUGCUAGAAAGAGCAAUUCCCGCUCCAAAGGAAGAGAGUAGGUGAGGUAACUGUCAGAUGGACCUGAAUUGGGAAGAAAUGUGGAUACCAGGGGCAAUUUUUUGAGAAACAUAAUUAAAUAUCCCAAUUGUGUUUGUAAAGUCUAAGAGCUCGCAGUUUAACCAUUUUAUACCCACCAUUGUGUGGGCUACCCAAGACAAGAUGAACACUUUCUAGUGUGUUUAUUAUUUAACUUUCCUCUGGUGUAAAUUUUCAUUCAUUUCCUUUGCUCAUGUACAUAUCAAGGUCUUAAAUGACUUUUCAUCCAAAUGUAAAUGUAGGUAGUUCUUUCCACCCUUUCUUUCUGCCCCUUUCUCUUUACAUGACUGUAAGAGCUGCUUCCAUUCAUACCAGUUGUGUCAACGAUCUUCUCAUUUCAAAUAUUAAGAGGCAUAAUCAAUUCAUUUUUCUAAGGAUAAUGUGUGAGAAAUACAGAGGUCUUUCUGAUCACAGAAUCUGUCUUUAGGCCUUGCAACUAUUUUCUU